CCUCGUUUUUUGUUCAUGAAACAUUUUGAUCUGAAAUUUCUAUCUAACAGAUUCAUUUCUGAAAGCUUAAAUCAACUGAAAUAUUUAAUUGACUCAUCAAUAAGCUGUUCGUAUUGUAGGGGAAUGCUCCGCAGUUUUGCUUUGAAUGUGAUCCACUAUACCAGGCAACACGUCCUGUAUAACAUAGACACCAUGGCUGGAAGAGAUGAUACAUGGCAUGUAACAAGAUUGAAGAUGCUCUUUCUUCAAAGACUUGUGCUGAACAAGAUACCUUGACCUGGAAGAGACGAUGUACCGUGUACAUGGCAUGCAACAAGAUACCAUAGAAGAAAGACUUGAAGAAUACCAAUGAAGAAAGACUUGAAGAAUAUUGCACAAGAUACCAUGGCAGAGAUACUUGCAGGUCAUUGAACGAGGUAAG
rnacentral:lncRNA from 1 species